rnacentral:pre_miRNA from 1 species
UUCGUACUCCCUCCGUUCGGAAUUACUUGUCUCGGAAAUGGAUGUAUCUAGAACUAAAAUACGUCUAGAUACAUCCAUUUCAAUGACAAGUAAUUCCGAACGGAGGGAGUAUGUA